AAACCAACAGGGAUUACCUCAGUAACGGCGAGUGAAGCGGUAAAAGCUCAAAUUUGAAAUCUUCGGAAUUGUAAUUUGAUGGAUAAAAUUUGCCUCCGGUCGAAAGUUCACUGGAAAGUGACGCCAUAGAGGGUGAUAGCCCCGUAACGUCCACCGGCACUAUAAUUUUAUUCCAAAGAGUCGGGUUGUUUGGGAAUGCAGCUCAAAGUGGGUGGUAAAUUCCAUCUAAAGCUAAAUAUUGACGAGAGACCGAUAGCGAACAAGUACAGUGAUGGAAAGAUGAAAAGAACUUUGAAAAGAGAGUGAAACAGUACGUGAAAUUGUUGAAAGGGAAGGGGAGGGAAGAUGUUAAAGGGAACUCCUUCAGCGUAGGGAUCCCCCCAAAGAGUCUUUCCUCUCGCCCGUCUUGAGA
rnacentral:rRNA from 1 species